rnacentral:rRNA from 1 species
CUACGGGGGGCUCCAGUGGGGAAUAUUGGGCAAUGGGCGCAAGCCUGACCCAGCAACGCCGCGUGAGGGAAGAAGGUUUUCGGAUUGUAAACCUCUGUCCUUGGGGACGAAGAAGUGACGGUACCCAAGGAGGAAGCUCCGGCUAACUACGUGCCAGCAGCCGCGGUAAGACGUAGGGAGCAAGCGUUGUCCGGAAUUACUGGGCGGAAAGGGUGCGUAGGCGGCAUAUUAAGUCAGGUGUGAAAUACUCGGGCUCAACCCGGGGGCUGCAUUUGAAACUGAUAUGCUUGAGUGUGAGAGAGGAAAGUGGAAUUCCUAGUGUAGCGGUGGAAUGCGUAGAUAUUAGGAGGAACACCAGUGGCGAAGGCGACUUUCUGGCUCAUAACUGACGCUGAGGCACGAAAGCGUGGGGAGCAAACAGGAUUAGAUACCCCAGUAGUC